rnacentral:rRNA from 1 species
CCCCCCGUCGCGGUUAGACGAAGAAUCUAAAUAGAAUAAAUUAUUAUUUUAAUUAACAGUAAAUGAUUUUGAGUAUAUUAUUUUCUUUUUUUAGGUGAAAUUUAUACAAAGAAGUAAAUUAUCUUUAAUUAUUUGAAGGGAUAUAAAAAAUAGAGACCAAAAACCAGGAUUAGAUACCCUGUUAUUCUCUACAAUAGGUAAUGGGGUAGUAAAAGUUGUUCUUCAAACCCAAAGGUUUUGGCGGCAUUCUAACCAAACAGAGGAGCUUGUCUUGUAAUCGAUAACCCUCGUUUUAUCUUACCUUCAUUUGUUUAACUUGUAUACCUCCGUUGUCAGAUUACUCCAAAAGGAUGUUUUCUAUAAAAUUAAUCUUUUUACUUCAGGUCAAGGUGCAGUUUAUGUGAAGGAAAUGGUGAGCUACAGUUUUUAAAAAAAAUACGGAUCUUAAAUUAUAAUUUGGGUGAAGGUGGAUUUGUUAGUAAGCUUAUUUUAGGAAAAUAAACUGAACAAGGCAAUAGAAUGUGUACAUAUCGCCCGUCACUCUCCUUUUAAGAGGAGAUAAGUCGUAACAAAGUAGAUGUAUGUGGAA